UGUCUCACAAAAAUCCCCCUUUCCUCAAAUCCACCAGCAACGCCUUCCACUCUCUUUCUUUCUCUCAAAACACCUAUUUUUUUCUCUCUACACUCAAGUCUUCACCAUUACGACGGAGGCGCAGCCACCAGAACCAGGUUCUUGCAAUUUACUUGGCUUUCAGUGGGUUUUUUAGAUUAUUAAAGAUACAACAAUGGAGACAUCUCUAAGAUAUGGAGUAGAUUCCAAAGCCCUCAAAAUUCAUGCCAAUGAGAGGUUUGCCAUUGAUUCCAGCACCCACUUGUAGGUUCACGGGGAGCUAGAUACAAGAAGUAAAUUGUAAGCUAUUGUCCUAGCUACCAUAUGCAACUAAUAUCUUCCUUCCCUUACCAUGACAGGGGACUUCUAAAGCAGCUGCGAAAGUAUCUUGGAGCAUCUAUAAUUUCCAUAGAGAACAAGAUGUUAGAUUCAGAAUUGGGUAUGAAGUGAUUACCAAGGUGCCUUAUCUGCAGAUUAGAAAAAAUAAUUGGACCCUCAAUGCUGACAUGAAUGGUAAAUGGAAUGUCAAAUUUGUUUUGUGAGCAAAGAAAGAGCAUGAUAUAUUCUCUUAAAGGUGAGAUGCGUGACUGUAAAAUGUCUGUUGAUAUAUUUCUUUGUUUUAGGUUCUGACCUAACUGAAUAAUAAACUGCAAUCUGCUAAUAUGUAUAGGGCCAUCAAUUAGAUUUUUCACAAAUUUGCAUCCAUCAAGAAUUCUUACCUUUCAUGUUGAUUUUAGGUGAUCUUUUUUUGUGUAGCUUGUUCGUUACAAUUUACCCCUCUUGUGGGAUUCAAAAUGCUUAAUUCAUGUUCUCCAUUGCUAAUUAUGGAACUUGUCGAACUAGUGUUUGUGACUUGCAUAAGGUAUCCAACUAAGUGUAUGUUGUAUAAGAAGUUAAGAUAGGAAAUCAGCAUAUACUAAUACCCCUCACCCAUUUAUCUUCUAACACUCUGCUGCCAACAUGUAUUUAAAUGAAGAAACUAAGAAGGUCAUUUGAGUUUAUGAGCAAAAACUGGUAUUUUCUUUGUACAGUAGACUCUUUUAUUGAUCUAUAUUUCUAUUUGUUGGUAAAUUUGAUUUUUUUUUUUAACUUUUUGCAUGGAUAGCUUGAUUUCAGUUGGAUAUAUCCAAUCCUGUCUCUUUUUUUCUGGAUGAAAGUGCUAUAGUUCGCUUUAUUUCACUUUUAUUUUAAUUGUGUUAUAUUAUUAUUUACUACUUAAUUGUAAUUGUUAAUAUAUAAUUAGUUAAAAUAUUUUACUUUCUGAUUUUAUGAUUUUACGAUUCGAGUUUAC